GACUGGAAAAGAAGUUAGUUUUAAACUGUGAAAGACAUAGGAGCUACGUAAAUGCAUAUAGUGGGACCAGUGAACAAACAAAAUUAUAGACCCCAAAAAGUUCAUCAUAAAUGUCUUUUUACAUUCUCCUUGAAUAGAAACUAAGGGGAAUAUAUAAAAUUUUAAAUACAAAAGUUGCAGUUCAUGUCUCAUUCAUUCUACUUGAAACAUAACUAAGUGGCAUUCUUGAUCUAGGGACAGAUUAACCAAUGAUCCAAUACGUAGAAACAAUUUAUAGGAUUAGCAUUUCAUGUCUUUUAUAUCCAAAGGAAGAGAUGGUAGGAAGUGAAAAAGAGAAAAGAAAGCUUACAUUGUGAGGACCAAUGAUGGUGCCAGUCCAAGAACGCAUAUAAAUGUCAUCUCCAUCAUCCAUCCCAUAGCUCACUGUCCCAUCUCCAAUACCUUUCUCCCCACGUUCAAGUUCCUCCAAUAAUCUAAAAUUGCGAGGCACUGCAAGGAAAUUGAAAUUUUGGUUAGUGAAAUCUUCACAAGAAAAACAGUUCAGAAUUGCGAAAAGGCUUCACCCUAGAUGUACACAGUCAAAAUGGCAGAACAAUAACAAAGACAGAGUUUGUGGUUUAGAGUUUCCUCCGGUUCCUAUCAUAUGAUGCCAAAUAAUGAAUCUAAAUUCCAGUAAACUUCGAGAUCUGUAAGAAGGGACAUAGCUCGUCAACUCAUAUUAUCAGUUCCAAAGACUUAAAGAGGUUCACAUGCAAGUAUAGUGCAUUCUAAUUUGACAUACCCAUUACUUCUCCAUCACAAUCUUACAAUUUCUGCAAAAGAAAAUAUACAUUUUGAAUAUAGUAGAGCUCUGGUAAAAUGGCAGGAUAAAGGUUCUUCAUUUGAUAGGUUAACAGUAUCUUUACUUACCUGCGAAAAGACAGAAAAUAGUCAAAGGACGGAGAGAUCCAAAAGGCAUUACAUUUACCCCCAAAAAGAACUCCAAAAUACAUUAUGUCUCUUUUUUUUCCUUUUUUUGGAGAAGGUAACAUGUAUCAGUAUAUUAAUAAAUCUUCCGCACAAAGCUUGUGCUGGAAGCCAAAAAUGAAGUUAAUGCAUUAUGUCUCUUUGUUGAGGCACUAACUAGAGGUAAAGCCAAGGGAAGGGGGGAAAAGUACAUAUGCUGCUCACAAGUAACUCCAACAUGAAUAUGCUAUUCGGUAUGGGAAGUAAAACACGCUGAAACUUUAUUAAUAGGCUCUCAUCAACAUUCUCCUCUCAUCUAUGAAAAUCAUGAUAUUUUAUCCAAAGGAUUUACAGGUUGUACUUUUCCCGUUAGUACAUAAGGAUCGGACAACCGUGCACGGGUUCAGUUCCUGUCAUUUGCCCAUAAUUCAUAAAUACUAGAGCCAGAACAUAGGGCUGACCUCUCUGCCUCCAACACAAGUGAAUAAGAAAAAAUCACGUCUAAGGUGAUGGUAUCACCAUCUAAACCUUCGACUAGCGACUUGUGGCAAUCUGCCCAGAAUGUCCAUACAAAAUAAGACCUUAUUACACAACGAAGAAAGACUGAGUGUCAAGGGUAGGGUACCACCAAAGAAAUGGAUUACCAAUAAAUCUGUUGAAAGGCUCAAAAGUUGAAUCUAAAUUGGGGGGCUGAAAUAAUGCAUCCCUAUGGCCAUGUUCUAUUCGGAGUGGUUAGUAGCCUAAUCUAGUCUCAACUUAUUCUCUAACGUCAACUUAAACUUGCCCAAGUUGCCCAAAUGAAUCUGCAAAUUAAUUGUUAGGCAUUUUACUGCUACGCUUAAAGGGUCCAGUCAAACAAUUCAGAUAAUAAAAAUAAGGUAAGAACCCAUUCCCAUAUGAAAUGAUAUCUAAAAAAUUUGCUAGCACAUCAAACAGUCAGUGGUAUGCUUAUUUUAGCUCCCAUUUGCUAGGAAUGUAUUGAUCUUAAUAUAGAUUUAUUUGCCAGUAAAGUGUGGCAAACUUCUAGCUUUUUAGAAUCCGAGUUAUUGAAUAUUGCUUUGGGAUGGAUCUAAAUGGAGCGACACGGAUAGUGAGGAUUCAUUUUUUAAAUAACCGUGGUGUAUGGGCCAACUUAUGCACAUGUCAACUAGUUUCACGAGAUUGCAACUAGCUUGGGAUUGAUGCCUAGUAGUUGUUUUCAUAACAUACAGUGAGCCCCCAUCAAGAAGCAGCAAAAUUUCAAAGUGUUUUGUGCAAUUAUUGAGGGUCCAUAUUUUUAUUAUAAGGACAAUUAUUGAGGGUCCAUGUAUGAAGCACAAAUCACAAUCAGGUUAUAUUGUGCAUAGGUCUAACACACAGUUCCAUGAUAAAAAGAAAAAGGCAGAAAGGAACUGAUUGUGCCAUAUCUCCCAAAGAGCAAUCAAUCAGCACUUUGGAAAGUUGUAGCAUGUUGAGCAGGAAUUCCAACAACUACAACCAAGAAAUGUCAACAAAUAGGAGAUUAGGAUACAAGGCAGCAAGAAAUGCAAACCAAGAACAAUUGCUGAACACAAACCCUGGUAAUGAUACAAAGUAAUCAAUCCCAUCAUGCACGCCAAACUAAGUUGCUUGAACUCUUCAUCUUCGGUGCUUCACCCGUAUCGGUACGAUACCCACGAUAGUGUGGGAGUGGGAUCAAUACCGGAUCUGGUUAAUCAAUUUUGGGUACUUUGACCAAAAGCCACCGAGAAAUUCGAGACAAGAUAUAAUUUGAUUUCCGAUAUCAAAACAAAAGCUAGGGUAUAUUUGCAUGGGUAUGCUGCCGUUGGGGAAGGCCUUGAAUGGAUCAUGUAGUUUUUGAGGAGAGAAGCAAAGAGCUUCAGAGAGGGACAUGAGAAGACGAGCGUUCGGCGAGGGAAAUUGGGGAAGUACAGGAGUAAUAGAGUUCUUAAAUGAGAUUUUAAAUUGGAGUUGAUGUGUUAAAAAAUAUAGUACCCUUUAUUCGCCACUAUAAGCAAAUCAAUGUAGUGAAAGCUUGACACAUUUGCUAAUUCUUCAAGAGUUUUAUUUCUGUAAGAACAAGAGUUCCAAUCAAAAGUUACAACAAUCAAUAUUUAUUUGUAAAUUAAAGAUAAAUGUACAAAGUUAUUUCUCAUAGUAUUGAAAAGUUUCAUAACUUAGGCAUAUUUAUAUAACUCUAUUUUUAGAUAUUUGAAUUAUUUUAGAUGAAUCAUCGCACCCGUACUUGGAUUCAUACCCCCGAAUCUUAAAAUUUAGAUCAUAAAGGAUAUGAACCUUUAGAUCCGCACCCAUAUCAGAUAAAUACGUACACACGUCUUCUCUAUACACCAUAGCCUUCACUUUAACUUUAAGUUAAUAUUUAAUCAACUAGUUGAUGUUAUUGGAAGCUUGUAUAGUUCACAUUUUUUGGCUCUACCAUGAAUUACACACACACACACACACACACACACACAUAUAUAUAUAUGAAGCUCCAAAAGGGGAAAAACUCAUCUUGAUGGUAAAAUUAAUGUUUUUUAUGAUGAUAUGAAAUUAAUGUAAAAUUUGCAAACUGCAGCAAAUUUUAAAUAACAGUAAAACCCAAAAAGACCCACAAUCAGGUCUACUCCCUAGCUAAUCAAAUCAAUUGAUCAGGCAGUUCUUCAACAUAUAAAUGAGAAAAAUCCCAGAUAAUAACUGAACAAACAGUCCUAAUAUAACAAAAACUGAGACAUUAAAUAUCCACAAGCCAAAGAACACAUCAAAUAUAAUAUACGCAUAGAAAUAUAUUUGAAGGGAAAAUCAAUAAGGGCAUAAACAAGAAAAUAUAUUUUUAAAAAAAUAAAAAAGGCAAGGGGGUUUCACAAAAUCGGCGGCUCACCCACAACACUGGAUCCUGCUGAGCCAAGCGUCAUGGCAGUGAUUAAUGAUUAUUUUGAGUUCGUACAAAUAUCGAUUCGAUCGAAAAGAGAGAAAAAGAAAACUUAAUAGACUGAUAGAAUCUGAGGGAGAAUCUAAUGGAGAGGCGCACGAAAGGCCAAAAGGA
rnacentral:lncRNA from 1 species